GAUGAACGCUGGCGGCGUGCCUAACACAUGCAAGUCGAACGGAUGGCUUCGGCCAUUAGUGGCAAACGGGUGCGUAACACGUAGGUAAUCUACCCAGGAGACGGGGACAACGGAUGGAAACGUCCGCUAAUACCCGAUGACGUCGGGAGACGAAAGGCGAAAGCCACUCGUGGAGGAGCCUGCGGCCUAUCAGGUAGUUGGUGGGGUAAGAGCCUACCAAGCCGACGACGGGUAGGGGGUGUGAGAGCAUGACCCCCCACACGGGGACUGAGACACGGACCAGACUCCUACGGGAGGCAGCAGUAAGGAAUAUUGGACAAUGGCCGCAAGGCUGAUCCAGCCAUGCCGCGUGAAGGAUGAAGGUGCUAUGCAUUGUAAACUUCUUUUGCAUGGGACGAAAAAACUUAAUUUAUUAAGGACUGACGGUACCAUGAGAAUAAGCACCGGCUAACUCCGUG
rnacentral:rRNA from 1 species